rnacentral:tRNA from 2 species
GCCCUCAUCGUCUAGGGGUCUAGGACAACAGAUUCUCAGUCUGUGAACUGGGGUUCGAAUCCCCAUGAGGGUGCCA